CAGUGUUACAGCUCUUUUAGGAUUUGUAUAGCAGGUCUUCUGCACCAGAAGAUCCCA
rnacentral:snRNA from 1 species